rnacentral:rRNA from 1 species
GACAGAGGUGCCAAGCGUUAGGCGGAAUCACUGGGCUUAAAGCGUGUGUAGGCGGCUCGUUAAGUACCUUGUGAAAUCCCACGGCUCAACCGUGGAACUGCUGGGUAUACUGGCGAUCUUGAGCCACCUAGGGGCGAGCGGAACAAGCGGUGGAGCGGUGGAAUGCGUAGAUAUCGCUUGGAACGCCAAUGGUGAAAACAGCUCGCUGGGGGUGUGCUGACGCUGAGACACGAAAGCCAGGGGAGCGAACGGG